rnacentral:rRNA from 1 species
GAUGAACGCUGGCGGCGUGCCUAAUACAUGCAAGUCGAGCGAAUGGAUUAAGAGCUUGCUCUUAUGAAGUUAGCGGCGGACGGGUGAGUAACACGUGGGUAACCUGCCCAUAAGACUGGGAUAACUCCGGGAAACCGGGGCUAAUACCGGAUAACAUUUUGAACCGCAUGGUUCGAAAUUGAAAGGCGGCUUCGGCUGUCACUUAUGGAUGGACCCGCGUCGCAUUAGCUAGUUGGUGAGGUAACGGCUCACCAAGGCAACGAUGCGUAGCCGACCUGAGAGGGUGAUCGGCCACACUGGGACUGAGACACGGCCCAGACUCCUCCAGGAGGAAGCAGUAGGGAAUCUUCCGCAAUGGACGAAAGUCUGACGGAGCAACGCCGCGUGGGUGAUGAAGGCUUUCGGGUCGUAAAACUCUGUUGUUAGGGAAGAACAAGUGCUAGUUGAAUAAGCUGGCACCUUGACGGUACCUAACCAGAAAGCCACGGCUAACUACGUGCCAGCCGCCGCAGUAA